rnacentral:sRNA from 1 species
UUGAGAAAUCGGGAAAUAGGGAUAUCGAGAAAUAGGGAAAUCGAGAAAUCGAGAAAGCAAAAACGCGAAAACACGAAAUGAAUUUUUCGAUUUCGCGUUUUUGCUUUCUCGAUUUCCCGAUUUCCCAAUUUCUCGAUUUCCCGAUUUCCCAAUUUCCCGAU